rnacentral:ncRNA from 1 species
UUAGAUAGAGGAGCAAAUGAUAAGAGUAAGAUUAUUUAGUCUGACAAACGUUGAUAUAAUCUGAAAGGAGAUUUUGCCGAAACGAAGAUAAGUGUCAGGUGUCUUUGUUGGUAAAAUGGAUAAGAUCUAUUUUACUGUCAUUGUUAAUCAAUGGAGGGCUAUCAA